UUUUUUUUUUUUUUUUUUUUUGAGGAGUCUCGCUCUUUCGCCCAGGCCGGAGUGCAGUGGCGCUAUCUCGGCUCACUGCAACCUCCGCCUCCCGGGUUCACGCGAUUCUCCUGCCUCAGCCUCCUGAGUAGCUGGGAUUACAGGCGCCCGCCACCGCGCCCGGCUAAUUUUUUGUAUUUUUAGUAGAGACGCGGUUUCACCGUGUUAGCCAGGAUGGUCUCGAUCUCCUGACCUCGUGAUCCGCCUGCCUCGGCCUCCCAAAGUGCUGGGAUUACAGGUGUGAGCCACCGCGCCCGGCCAGUAACAGCAUUUUUUAAUUCAGACACCAGGAAAAAAAAAAAAGUAAAAGAGGACUUUAAAGGAGAGUUAAAAUGAGGAGAACUGAGAUAGGUGCAAUGGUCAUUUUCUACCAAGGAAUUUUCCUUCACAGUUAUCUUUAGCAGUAGUUUUCAACCCUUUUUUCACUAUGACACAUGUGAGGGUCAUUCACAUACAAAGCAUUCUCAUGUAUAUACUCAUUUAGCAACAAAGUGAAAAAAAUUAAAUGGAUUAGUAAAGCUCCACAAUAAUUGACAAUCACUACCACACUGGUGUACGUACUAAUAUUUCUAUUUCAGUGACUGACUUCUGUGAAUUUGUUCACCUCAAGAGAGUAGGGCAUGAAAUUCAGGUUAUUAAAAAAAAAAAUCUAUUCAGCACAGAUACUGACCAAAAGGAAAGAGGCUGGUGGAAAAACCAAUACAGCCAACCUCUUGUUAACUGGUGGAAUACCAGCCCUGGACACAAGACUUCCACAGCUACAGGUUACCCAACUCCCAGCAAGCUAGUUGUCAUCAGUUCUCUCUUCCUCCCAAACAAAGUACAUGAAGAUACAAGAGCAUGAAGCAUACACAGAGACAAAUUCUCCCAUUUGAAUAUGCUCUAUUUCAUUAAAAAAGGAGAUUCAGGAAUUUAAUUACUUUAUAAUAUUACAGUAUUCAUAACAGUGUUCUUAUGACACUGUGACAUAACAUCAACACUGAGGCAGCUAAACUUUCCAAAAAUCCUUUCUGUGAUAUUCAUAGCUCUGUGUAAUAUAGCCUGACCUAUUUAGCCAAAAUAUAUCUUAGUUAUUUCUUCCACUAUAACAAGCAAACCUAUUUUACCAUUCCUAAAAAA
rnacentral:lncRNA from 10 species